AGCGCACACCAGGCCUCGUUGCAUUACCGUUUCACGUGUGCACGACGCCGAGUGAGAUAGAGGGAGGAGUGCAAGUCUGUAAACGUGUCAGCUAUGUCUGUUGCACGAUCGUCGUCGUCGACACUCGAUUUGCAAGUAAUUGCGUCGGCAUUACGCUCGAUGCACUCGAACCACCCUCGAUACGCGCGUUCCAUUGUCAAGGGCGUUUGAAGUUGCACAAUUGAGGGAAUCAUGAGUUGUGGACCAUCUGAUGAAAAGAGGGGGCGAUUUAACUCUUUGCGGUCGUAUGUCAACUCUCAGCUGUCAAAUGUAGUUCAACCCAUUGUGGUCGUAUGUCGUUGUUGUUCGUCGUUUAUGUUUUAAGUGCAUGUGCAGGUAUGCACAUAUUGCACUCCUCCUUUCCAUUAUAUGGACCGUUUAUUUUGAAAGUGAUGUAAGUCCAUUUUCUCUUGUUUCGAGAAAAUUAGAGGUUAGCACUUUAUUUACCGGGAGCCUAUUUAUAGGCUUUUUAAUUGCAGUAUUUAGCUAUUCGAAUUCAUUUACUGUAUCGAUGGUUGUCUACUUACAAUGUUCAGUGUUUGGUAACAGAUUUGGCUUUCAAUGUACCUAGUAACAGUAUGAAGGAAUUAUUGUCAGCCUAGAUUGGUAUAUGCUAGUAUAGAAAUUCUUUUUUGAAUUAAAGUCUGUUUCUAAAUAGCACGGUAGAUAAAGUGUUAAGACUAAUAUGAAUCAAAACUAAUAUGAAUGCUCUGUAUUAUUAUAAGCAAAAGAUCGUGUUAAAUUAUUAACCCUGAGUCUUUGAUCCUAAACCCGACAUUGUUGUUGAUUCAGAUAACAUGAAUUGUGAUACAUGAAGUGUUGUAAUUAUUUAUGUAAGUGUUGUUAAUAUAAUGUUCCAGUAUUGUUUUACUACAUCAACACAAG